UAAUCUCUUUUUCUGAAUAGAACAUUCUUCAAAAGGGUACACUAAUGAAUGAGUUGUAGGGUUUACUCACAAACGGUUUGUCAAAAGAAAAUUUUAAAGAUCAAGUCAAGUCAAGGCUGGCCUAGGGAGGGUAGAUUAAACAGUGCCCGGUAAUACAGAAGAUGUGAUUUAUAAAAACUGAGCUUGCCUCAGAGGUCACAGAGGGGAGAUUACAUGGAGUUCAUGUUCUUCCACCAUCUUUCCUGACAGAGAGAGGGCCUGCCUGCCCCUUCAAUGCGCAGAAUGCUAACAUCAAGCUUUUUGAAAGAAUUUUUAGAAAGACCUACCUAGUCAAAAGUGGUUAAUUUCAUUUUUUUUAACUUGCAAAAGCAUAAAUAUUUUAUAUAAUCAUCUGAGAAGCAAUUCUUUAGAAAAAGGUGUUUGCUUUAAAGUGUAAAGAAAUUAGGUGAAAGUUUUAUAAACAUUUCCAACAAGACUUCUCUAGGUAGAGUUGAUGGACAUCACCAGAUUGAGAGGAUGAAAGUUGCAGUGGGAGUGUGCACCGUAUUACGCAUUGACCCUGGCUUUUCUGUUUGAGGUUUCAGAGAACAGGCAGUUUAUUCUUUAGUUAUUGAAGGAGUCACAUUAAGAACAUUUCAUAACUAACCCAAACUGAAAUGUAGAUGCAUAGCUGGCUGUAUGAGUUCCCAAAUGCUCUUUAUGUCUCAUCUUAAAUCACACGGGAAGAAUAAAUGGUAUCCUGGCUCUUACGGAAAAAAAAAUUUAAAGGAAGCGCACUGACUUUCACGUUGUCAGAGGCCUCUUUUGCUUCAUGCAGUGGUUGUGUGUGCUUAAGGAAACACAAAUAAGCCCAACGCUCAAAAAUGUAGCCCUUUGGGUAUAUACCAGGAAAAUGUGCCAUGUCUUGAAGUCCUUCCCCAGAGUGAAUAAGCCCUGUUCAUUUGCCUGUGUUAACAACUGGAAUUUCUAUGUGCAGUGCAGACAGGACGCUACUGACAUUUCCUGGAAAUGCAUUUUUGCACGGUAUAGUUUAAAUUAGCUAAUACACUUGAUAUAGGAAGAAGCUCCUCCAACCCCCCAAGUUGGAUGGAGAACUGAAUUCUAAGAUAUAAGAAACAUAGAGUUUCAUUGGUGGGAGCAGACUUUGGGUUCAGAUCUUUAACUGUCAUUGCAGUUGUUCUCACACUGACAUUUGCUCUGCAUGUGCAUAGGUCAUAAUUAUUUUUUCUUUUUUUUUUUCCAUAGGUCAUAAUUAACCAAUGAAAACACUGAGGAUCUUUUAUUAUCCCCAUAAUGAAAAAAUUCUCCCCACCAGCCUAGCACUAGGACCCAUCUGCCAUCCUCAUUAUUGAUUAUGGGAAUAUACUGUGGUCCCCACUCCUCAUACUUUGCCAGAGCAAAGCAAGGACUGGGAUACACAGGCACUGCACCGAGGCUGCUGAUGCCAGAGAUAUCAGAGAGAAGAUGGGACAGCCGAAAUAUUGAAUUAGAGCAAAAGGCCAUGGAAGGCACCAAAUAGCAAGUUGCAAUCUGGGGCCUUCAAACGGAGGAGGAGCUGGUCAUCUCACGUUUGCCCCAUCAGAAUCAUUUACAAAAUAUGUUAGUAGGUCCAACACACACACACACACACACACACACACACACACACACACAUGCAUGCUCCUAUUUGUGAGAACAGUCCUCAAACAUUCAGUGUCUAGCACUGAAAGGACAGAAGAGGCGCUUGAAAGCAAUUACAGAGCUCAGUACAGCACCCAGUUGAUGGAGCGUGUCCCAAGGUAGAGGUCUGCAGCACAGGUUCUGACACUAUUUUUACUUGUUUUUUACCACCAAGAUCAGCUACUAACUAAUCCGAAUCCGAAUCCGAAUCCGGUGGCAGCAGGAAGAAUUUCUGAGCUUUUAUUAGUAGUGGCAUAUGAAGAGAAUUUGAAUGAUUUCUCCUUUGGCUUUAAAAUGGAAUUUAAAUUCCUAGGCAGAGCCCCCAGAGCACAAGAAUAAACGUGAAAACUGUCCACGGGUGGAGCUGGAG
rnacentral:lncRNA from 12 species